CAGCCGCCGCGGUAAUACGUAGGGUGCAAGCGUUAAUCGGAAUUACUGGGCGUAAAGCGUGCGCAGGCGGUUAUAUAAGACAGAUGUGAAAUCCCCGGGCUCAACCUGGGAACUGCAUUUGUGACUGUAUAGCUAGAGUACGGCAGAGGGGGAUGGAAUUCCGCGUGUAGCAGUGAAAUGCGUAGAUAUGCGGAGGAACACCGAUGGCGAAGGCAAUCCCCUGGGCCUGUACUGACGCUCAUGCACGAAAGCGUGGGGAGCAAACAGGAUUAGAUACCCCGGUAGUCCCUGUCUCUUAUAA
rnacentral:rRNA from 1 species